CAAUUCUUCCAGCCAGACCCUUGAAUGCGAAAAGGAAGGUAUAGGGCAGUGCAGGCUUUCUGUUUUUAAUGUUUCUGUUAAAUUGAGUUUGUUUAAUAUUUUUUUUUUUUAUAUUUACUAGCUAAACAUUCCAUCGGUACGAUUUGUGAUAUUAUAUCCUCUUAUAAAUUUUUAUAAAUACAUACAUAUUAUUUUUUAUUUUAUGUGAGCUUUUUAUUAUAUCAAAAU
rnacentral:lncRNA from 1 species